UCCUACGGGACGCAGCAGUGAGGAAUAUUGGUCAAUGGGCGGUAGCCUGAACCAGCCAAGUCGCGUGAAGGAUGAAGGUUCUAUGGAUUGUAAACUUCUUUUAUAAAGGAAUAACGUGAGUCACGUGUGCCUUUUUGUAUGUACUUUAUGAAUAAGGAUCGGCUAACUCCGUGCCAGCAGCCGCGGUAAUACGGAGGAUCCGAGCGUUAUCCGGAUUUAUUGGGUUUAAAGGGAGCGUAGAUGGGUUGUUAAGUCAGUUGUGAAAGUUUGCGGCUCAACCGUAAAAUUGCAAUUGAUACUGGCGG
rnacentral:rRNA from 1 species